rnacentral:rRNA from 1 species
AUUGAACGCUGGCGGCAUGCCUAACACAUGCAAGUCGAGCGGAGCGGCGGACGGGUGCGGAAUGCCUAGGAAUCUGCCUGGUAGUGGGGGAUAACGUCCGGAAACGGGCGCUUAUACCGCAUACUAUCAGAUGAGCCUAGGUCGGAUUAGCUAGUUGGUGGGGUAAAGGCCUACCAAGGCGACGACCCGUAACUGGUCUGAGAGGAGGAUCAGUCACAAUGGAACUGAGAAACGGGCCAGACUCCUACGGGAGGCAGCAGUGGGGAAUAUUGGACAAUGGGCGAAAGCCUGAUCCAGCAAUGACGCGUGUGUGAAGAAGGUAUUAGGAUGGUAAAGCACUGUAAGUGGGGAGGCGGUACCAACAGAAUAAGCACCGGCUAACUUCGUGCCAGCAGCCGCGGUAAUAC